rnacentral:misc_RNA from 1 species
GAUGAAGAACGUAGCGAAAUGCGAUAAGUAAUGUGAAUUGCAGAAUUCAGUGAAUCAUCGAAUCUUUGAACUCACAUUGCGCCCGCCAGUAUUCUGGCGGGCAUGCCUGUUCGAGCGUCAUUUCAACCAUCAAGCCCCAGGCUUGUGUUGGGGACCUGCGGCUGCCGCAGGCCCUGAAAACCAGUGGCGGGCUCGCUGUCACACCGGGCGUAGUAGAUUUUAUCUCGCUCAGGGCGUGCUGCGGGUUCCGGCCGUUAAAAAGCCUUUUUUACCCAAGGUUGACCUCGGAUCAGGUAGGAAGACCCGCUGAACUUAAGCAUAUCAAUAAGCGGAGGA